rnacentral:lncRNA from 1 species
GGCGGGACACCCGCGCUCCGGAGGGCACCGCACACCAGCGCAUCCCGGUGGGAUCCCCAUCCCAGCGCUCCGGCCGCACUGGGACCGGGGGGGACCGCGACCCCCGGGCAAGCGAUAGGCAGCGGGCUCGGAUCCCUGCCGGUCCCGGGGGGCGGCUCAGAGGCAGGAAGCGUCCCGGGGUGGUGGCGGCAGAUUGGCAGAGCCCUGCUCCAAUGGAGCGGCGGCGGCAGCCCGGGGGGGGGGGGGGGGGGGGGGGGGGGGGGGGGGGGGGGGGGGGGGGGGGGGGGGGGGGGGGGGGGGGGGGGGGGGGGGGGGGGGGGGGGGGGGGGGGGGGGGGGGGGGGGGGGGGCGGCUUCGCACCGCCUGCGCUGCCGGCCCCAGCCAGCCCGGUGCGGGCGCCCCGCUCCCGCUCCCGCUCCCGCUCCGCUAGCGCCAUGGACACAUAGCCGCGGCAACACGCAGGAAGGUGGUACGAGACUGGGACAUGGCAAAAAAAUGCUCCUCCUACUCUGGAGUUUGAGUUGGGGGCAUCCAGGAGAAGAAGGACAAGAAGUCUGUCAAGACAUGGUUUGCUUCCAUCUUGCCAGGAUCACUCACUGCGGUCACGUUGGUCACAACAGGUGGUGAUGGCCUGUGUGCAGGCAAGACUGCAUUGACCAGGAGAAGGGAGGAUGCUGAAAGCACUUUGGAAAUCAGCCUGAGGCUCCCCAGAGGCUGCUCAGCUCUGGUCCAUUCUUCCCAGUAUGAAGACA